rnacentral:rRNA from 1 species
CGACCACAACGGGUGGAGCUGCGGUUAAUUGGACUCAACGCCGGGCAGCUCACCGGAUAAGACAGCUGGAUGAUAGCCGGGCUGAAGACUCUGCUUGACUAGCUGAGAGGAGGUGCAUGGCCGUCGUCAGUUCGUACUGUGAAGCAUCCUGUUAAGUCAGGCAACGAGCGAGACCCACGCCAACAGUUGCCAGCAUGUCCUCCGGGAUGAUGGGGACACUGUUGGGACCGCCUCUGCUAAAGAGGAGGAAGGAAUGGGCAACGGUAGGUCAGCAUGCCCCGAAUUAUCCGGGCUACACGCGGGCUACAAUGGUCAGGACAAUGGGUAUCGACACCGAGAGGUGGAGGCAAUCUCCUAAACCUGUCCUUAGUUCGGAUUGUGGGCUGCAACUCGCCCACAUGAAGCUGGAAUCCGUAGUAAUCGCGUUUCAAAAUAGCGCGGUGAAUAUGUCCCUGCUCCUU